rnacentral:rRNA from 1 species
GGGCCCGCACAAGCGGUGGAGCAUGUGGUUUAAUUCGAUGCAACGCGCAGAACCUUACCCAAUCUUAACAUCCCGUGAACGAUACAGAAAUGUAAUGGUGCCCUUUUGGGAACACGGUGAUAGGUGCUGCAUGGCUGUCGUCAGCUCGUGUCGUGAGAUGUUCGGUUAAGUCCGGCAACGAGCGCAACCCACAUCCCUAGUUGCCAGCAGUUCGGCUGGGCACUCUAUGGAAACUGCCCGUGAUAAGCGGGAGGAAGGUGUGGAUGACGUCAAGUCCUCAUGGCCCUUACGGGUUGGGCUACACACGUGCUACAAUGGUAGUGACAAUGGGUUAAUCCCAAAAAGCUAUCUCAGUUCGGAUUGUCGUCUGCAACUCGACGGCAUGAAGUCGGAAUC